rnacentral:rRNA from 1 species
AACACGGAGAGUUUGAUCCUGGCUCAGGAUGAACGCUGGCGGUCUGCUUAACACAUGCAAGUCGAACGGAGUAGCAAUACUUAGUGGCGGACGGGUGAGUAACGCGUGAGAAUCUGCCUUCAGGACGGAGACAACAGUUGGAAACGACUGCUAACCCCCGAUGUACCGAGAGGGAAAAUAUUUAUAGCCUGAAGAUGAGCUCGCGUCCGAUUAGCUAGUUGGAGGGGUAAAAGCCCACCAAGGCGACGAUCGGUAGCUGGUCUGAGAGGACGAUCAGCCACACUGGGACUGAGACACGGCCCAGACUCCUACGGGAGGCAGCAGUGGGGAAUUUUCCGCAAUGGGCGCAA